UCAGAUUCUUCUCCAUUAUAGCUUAUUACAAGAUAUUGAAUAUAGUUCUCUGUGAUAUACAGUAGGUCCUUGUUAUCUGUUUUACAUAUAGUAGUGUGUAUCUGUUAAUCCCAAACUCCUAAUUUGAAGAGGAAGAAUAAACUAGUGACAUUAAUAAUAAAUUAAUAAUUAUUAAUUAGUGUAUUAAAUUAAUAAUAAUAAAGUGACAUUAAUAGUACCAUAAAUCAAUUAUUAGAAAGCCAGUUGAUCUAAAGCCUAAGAUAAUGGGUUUUUUCCUCCUUGAUUUAUUAUAAUAAGCACCCUCAGUGACUAAUUAUUAUGGAUGAGGUCCAACAUUAAUUAGGUUUAUACAGAAUUCUGCUGUAAACAGUAAUUUUGCAUUUGAUUAGUACAAUGAGCUGAUUCAUGAAGUAACUUGUCUGUGAAAGUUACUCACUAAAAUCUAGGUGCUUCAGUUCUUCCUUUUCCUUAAAAAGAGAAACUGAAAUCCCUGGAUAAAAUUUCCUCAUUAAAAUAUUAUAGCAUGGACAGAAUUACAGUAUCAAAGUAGAGUCAUUCAAUAAAGAAGGAAAAAUUCUACUCUUUAAAUAACUAUUUAUGACUUAUUGGCCAAUGAUCUUGGGGUUAUUGGAAAUCUACAUGGGACAGUUGGGGAAUAGUUUGGGUUUUGAAGGUACUCUGGCUUAGAUUUGAAUUCCAGCCAUGCGACCUCAGGCAAAUUGGUAAUAACCCUGGGCCUCAGUUUUCUCAUCUGUAAAAUGGAGCAGGAAUUGGCUUCACAGCAGCUUAUGAGCUGUUCUGAGAAUAAAUAAAAAGGUGUCUAACACAUAGUGGUGACUCAAUUGGUGACAGAAAAAUAGGGUUUUUUCCCCUUCUUGGAGUGAUUUCAGGUUGCCUCCAUAUCCGCUUAUAUGGAUUAUAAAAUUAAAUCUCAAGAUAUGUUACAGAAUAUAUCUGAAAUAAAAAGCAAAUGACC